UUGAGUAGCAUUACCUUCAGAUUUUGCAUGCUUGUACCUGUUAUGGUGGUGGUUUUGUCCUUUGAAGUUUGCCUAAAAAAGGCACUAUAGGGGUGGCAAGAGCCUUAGCCAGUAACCUGCAUCCCAGGGGCGACAGGUGCAGAACAUCUUU